rnacentral:hammerhead_ribozyme from 1 species
AUCCAGCUGAUAUAGUCCUAAAUAGGACGAAACGCACGUCCUGGAU